rnacentral:sRNA from 1 species
CAUCGUCCUUGAGAGGGCUCAGCGCCUUC